CCUACGGGAGGCAGCAGUGAGGAAUAUUGCACAAUGGGGGAAACCCUGAUGCAGCGACGCCGCGUGAGUGAAGAUGUCCUUCGUUAUGUAAAGCUCUAUCAGCAGGGAAGAAAAUUACGGUACCUGAGUAAGACGCCACGUCUAACUACGUGCCAGCCGCCGCGGUACUACGUAGGGGGCGAGCGUUUUCCGGAUUUACGGGGUGUAACGGGAGCGUAGACGGGAGUGCAAGUCUGGAGUGAAAGGCGGGGGCUCACCCCGCGGACUGCUAUUGAAACUGUCCGGCUGGAGUGCAGGAGAGGUGAGUGGAAUUUGUGGUGUAGCGGUGAAAUGCGUAGAUAGUAGGAGGAACACCAGUGGCGAAGGCGGCUUACUGGACUGUAACUGACGUUGAGGCACGAAAGCGUGGGGAGCAAACAGGAUUAGAUACCCCAGUAGUC
rnacentral:rRNA from 1 species